CAGUCGCCGCGGUAAUACGAUGGGUGCAAGCGUUACUCGGAAUUACUGGGCGUAAAGCGUGCGUAGGUGGUGGUUUAAGUCCGUUGUGAAAGCCCUGGGCUCAACCUGGGAAUUGCAGUGGAUACUGGGUCACUAGAGUGUGGUAGAGGAUAGUGGAAUUUCCGGUGUAGCAGUGAAAUGCGUAGAGAUCGGAAGGAACAUCUGUGGCGAAGGCGACUAUCUGGGCCAACACUGACACUGAGGCACGAAAGCGUGGGGAGCAAACAGGAUUAGAUACCCCGGUAGUCCCUGUCUCUUAUAC
rnacentral:rRNA from 1 species